rnacentral:rRNA from 1 species
UACGAAGGGGGCGAGCGUUGUUCGGAUUUACUGGGCGUAAAGGGCGCGCAGGCGGUUCUGUUUGUCGAGUGUGAAAGCCCCGGGCUCAACCUGGGAACUGCGCUCGAAACGGCGGAACUAGAGUGCGGGAGAGGAGAGUGGAAUUCCCAGUGUAGAGGUGAAAUUCGUAGAUAUUGGGAAGAACACCGGUGGCGAAGGCGGCUCUCUGGACCGAUACUGACGCUGAGGCGCGAAAGCGUGGGGAGCAAACAGG